rnacentral:rRNA from 1 species
CCCUUAGAUGUUCUGGGCCGCACGCGCGCUACACUGGUGUGUUCAACAAGUCUGAUUUCCCUGCUUUCGAAAGGAGUGGGUAAUCUUUUAAACGCACACCGUGCUUGGGAUUGAUUUUUGCAAUUUUAAAUCAUCAACGAGGAAUCCCUUGUAUUUGCAAGUCAUCAACUUGCAGAGAAUACCGUCCCUGCUCUUUGUACACACCGCCCGUCGCACCUACCGAUUGAGAGCAUAGGUGAAAACUCAGGAUUGUUUCCUUAACACCUUCGGGUAGUUUUGGAAGCGAGAAUUUGUUUAAACCUCCGUUCUUAGAGGAAGGUGAAGUCGUAACA